GCAGCCGCGGUAAUACGUAGGGAGCAAGCGUUAUCCGGAUUUAUUGGGUGUAAAGGGUGCGUAGACGGGAAAUUAAGUUAGUUGUGAAAUCCCUCGGCUCAACUGAGGAACUGCAACUAAAACUGAUUUUCUUGAGUGCAGGAGAGGAAAGUGGAAUUCCUAGUGUAGCGGUGAAAUGCGUAGAUAUUAGGAGGAACACCAGUGGCGAAGGCGACUUUCUGGACUGUAACUGACGUUGAGGCACGAAAGUGUGGGGAGCAAACAGGAUUAGAUACCCC
rnacentral:rRNA from 1 species